rnacentral:tRNA from 1 species
GGAUUGUUAGCUUAGUGGUUAAGGCGUUGGCUAUAUUGGAGGAGGUCGGGGGUUCCAUUCCCCACGAUCCU